UGGGGAAUAUUGGACAAUGGGGGAAACCCUGAUCCAGCCAUCCCGCGUGUGCGAUGAAGGCCUUCGGGUUGUAAAGCACUUUUGGCAGGAAAGAAACGUCGCGGGUUAAUACCCCGCGAAACUGACGGUACCUGCAGAAUAAGCACCGGCUAACUACGUGCCAGCAGCCGCGGUAAUACGUAGGGUGCAAGCGUUAAUCGGAAUUACUGGGCGUAAAGCGUGCGCAGGCGGUUCGGAAAGAAAGAUGUGAAAUCCCAGAGCUUAACUUUGGGAACUGCAUUUUUAACUACCGGGGCUAGAGUGUGUCAGAGGGAGGUGGAAUUCCGCGUGUAGCAGUGAAAUGCGUAGAUAUGCGGAGGAACACCGAUGGCGAAGGCAGCCUCCUGGGGAUAACACUGACGCUCAUGCACGAAAGCGUGGGGAGCAAACAGGAUUAGAUACCCUGGUAGUCCACGCCCUAAACGAUGUCAACAGCUGUUGGGGGCCUUUCGGGCCUUGGUANCGCAGCUAACGCGUGAAGUUGGACCGCCUGGGGAGUACGGUCGCAAGAUUAAAACUCAAAGGAAUUGACGGGGGUCAUAGCUGUUUCCU
rnacentral:rRNA from 1 species